GUGCUCACUUCAUCAACACACAUACUAAAACUGAACAAUACAGGGAAGAUUAGCAUGGCCCUUGUAUAAGAUGUUAUGCAUAUUUGUAAAACACUGCACAUUUUU
ensembl:snRNA U6 U6 spliceosomal RNA